AUUUAUAUAGCGCUUUAAACAAAACAGAUUGUGUCAAAGCAACUGAACAACAUUAAUUAGGAAAACAGUGCGUCAAUAAUGCAAAAUGACAGUUAAAGGCAUCAUUGAAUUCAGGGAUGUUCAUCAUUGAAUUCAGGGAUGUCAUCAUGCAGCUCAGUUCAGUUUAAAUAGUAUCAGUGCACUCAUUUGCAAUCAAGUCAACGAUAUCGCUGUAAAUGAAGUGUCCCCAACUAAGCAAGCCAGAGGCGACAGCGGCAAGGAACCAAAACUUCAUCAGUGACAGAAUGGAGAAAAAACCUUGGGAGAAACCAGGCUCAGUCGGGGGGCCAGUUCUCCUCUGGCCAGACGAAACCAGCAGUUCAGUUCCAGGCUGCAGCAAAGUCAGAUUGUGCACAGGACUCAACUGGUACCUGUGGUCUUGUCCCGGUUGUCGUCUGAGACAAGGUCUUUACAGGGGAUCUGUAUCUGGGGCUCAUCUAGUUUUCCUGGUCUCCGCUGAGAUUCAGGGCUGUAGAGGACCUUUCUAGGUGCUGAUCCACCAUCUGGGCUGGAUACGUACUGGAUCCGGGGGACUACAGUGACCAUCUGACCUGGAUACAGACUGGAUCUGAUGGCUUCGGUGACCUCGGAAUAAGAGAGAAACAGACUAAUAUUAGCGUAGAUGCCAUUCUUCUAACAAUGUAACAAGUACAUUGGGUGUUAUAGGAAGUGUUCCCGGUUCCGGUUUACCUAAUUAAUGCAGCCUAAAAAUCCUUUAACGGAUUUGGAUAUUAUAAGCGUAUUAGUGUGUAAUGUGUAAGCCAGGUUAAAGAGAUGGGUCUUUAAUCUAGAUUUAAACUGCAUGAGUGUGUUGUGACACUGUCACAUAAGGGACAUGUUUUAACCGCUCUAUUUAUUACAGUGAUUUUAUGUAUUAUAGAGUUUUAAUUGGUUUUCAUGUUUCUUAUGUCCAUUUUAUGCCUUUUAACCAUUUUAGUGUGUGUAUGUCUAUAAGAACUGUAUGGUUGGCCUGUCAGGUGAUCAGUCACCUGACAGGAAGCAGGAGCACUAUAAGAAGAGCAGGGGGAGGCUAUGUUACACUGUCACAUAAGGGACAUGUUUUAACCGCUCUAUUUAUUACAGUGAUUUUAUGUAUUUAAUUGGUUUUCUUAUGUCCAUUUUAUGCCUCUUAACCAUUUUAGUGUGUGUAUGUCUUUAAGAACUGUAUGGUUGGCCUGUCAGGUGAUCAGUCACCUGACAGGAAGCAGGAGCACUAUAAGAAGAGCAGCAUGGCAAACAAACAAGGAGGCCAUUACCAGUUUCCACUCACACCCGGACUGUGGAGUUACUUUUAUUGGUCUUACCUUUCCAGACACUUACAGCCACUUGGAUUUCACUCAGAUUGGAUUGUAUAAACACUACUGGACACUCACAUUGGAACUCAACAACACACAGGGAUUCUUGGACUGUUUUUAGGGUAUGGAUAAAAUAACUGUGUUCUUUUAACAGACUGAGUCUACCUGGUUGUAUUGUGUUGUUUUAAAGUCUUUUAUUGUGAACCUGUAAAUACACCAAUCUUAUUAACUGUAUUUCUGUUUUAUGGCAUUCUUUUAACACGUUUUAACUCUCACACAGAGAAGUCAGACCCCAUUUCAAUUUUAGUAACCCAACCCGCUGGGCUGAGCAUUACAGUAUCUGCCUCCCAAACAAUGUUAGGUAGGUUAUUCCAGAGCUUAGGCGCUAAAUAGGAAAAGGAUCUCCC
ensembl:lncRNA